rnacentral:rRNA from 1 species
CCUACGGGAGGCAGCAGUGGGGAAUAUUGCGCAAUGAGCGAAAGCCUGACGCAGCGACGCCGCGUGAGGGAUGAAGGUCUUCGGAUCGUAAACCUCUGUCAGCAGGGAAGAACGGUCGCUGUUCUAAUCAGCAGUGAAUUGACGGUACCUGCAAAGGAAGCGACGGCUAACUCCGUGCCAGCAGCCGCGGUAAUACGGAGGGUGCGAGCGUUAAUCGGAAUUAUUGGGCGUAAAGCGCUCGUAGGCGGUAUGUCAAGGCAAGGGUGAAAUCCCCGGGCUCAACGUGGGAACUGCCUUUGAAACUGGCAAACUGGAGUGUGUGAGAGGAUAGUGGAAUUCCAGGUGAAGGAGUGAAAUCCGUAGAUAUAUGGAGGAACAUCAGUGGCGAAGGCGACUAUCUGGCACAUAACUGACGCUGAGGAGCGAAAGCGUGGGUAGCAAACAGGAUUAGAUACCCCUGUAGUC